AUUUACGGCAACACUUACAAGUUCAAUUCAGGGUCAAAAUCAUUGCUAUAUUUUGGAUGGUUAUUUUUGAAGUGAUUGAUUGGUGGAUUACUGUAAUUGAAGGAACUAUGGGAAAGUUCUCCUUCCCAAGGCUCAUCAUAAGAAUGCCAUGGGCAAAUCGGACUGCACAGGACGAUUUCUGCACAGGAACUACUGAACUCCACAGGCCCAGAACACACCAGCCUCACAACUCCUCACAACUCCCCAGCCUUAAUGUGUGUAGGCAGGGCAAGGAGGACAUCGAUUCAACCCAGAAGAAGAGGAAAAAGAAGAGGCUAAAUGAGAAGGGAACCCAGGUUGAACUAGGCAUGCGGGAGGAUAUCCAUGACCUUGACCGCGCCCAUUGGAGAUUGGCUAGAGAGACAUGGAGAACUGAGCGAGGAAACAUGAGGGAGAUUAAGGCGCUGUAUGGAGAAAUAUUUAGGCUGCACCAACUCUUGGAGGAGUCCACCUGGCCGUGCUGCUGCUCCAGUUUCAACUGUUCUGCCUGCGGCUAUGGAACCCUGACCUGUUCACCGGACGUGCUUGUUGCACCCUCGACAACUACUAUGAUUAUUAUUAUUUGACCAUGCUGGUCAUUUAUGAACAUUUUAACAUUUUAACAUCUUGACCAUGUUCUGUUAUAAUAUCCACCCUGCACAGCCAGAAGAGGACUGGCCACCCCUCAUAGCCUGGUUCCUCUCUAGGUUUCUUCCUAGGUUUUUGGCCUUUCUAGGGAGUUUUUCCUAGGGAGAUUUUCCUAGCCACCGUGCUUCUUUCACAUGCUUUGUUUGCUGUUUGGGGUUUUAGGCUGGGUUUCUGUACAGCACUUUGAGAAUAUCAGCUGAUGUACGAAGGGCUAUAUAAAAAUAAAUUUGAUUUGAUUUGAUUCUGAGGAAGGUCUGCGUUUUGCACUGGUAGUAUUCUUAAGAAGGCCUGCAUUAUGCACUGGUAGUAUUCUUAAG
rnacentral:lncRNA from 1 species